CAGGACACGCUGGCGGCGUGCCUAAUACAUGCAAGUCGAACGGUCUUUCUAUGGAAGCUUGCUUCCGCUGAGAAGAUAGUGGCGAACGGGUGAGGUAACACGUGGGUAACCUGCCCAUAAGAGGGGGAUAACAUCCGGAAACGGGUGCUAAUACCGCACUAGGUUUUCUUGAUCGGACAUGAUCGGGAAAGAAAAGACGGCCUUUGUGCUGUCGCUUAUGGAUGGACCCGCGGCGUAUUAGUUAGUUGGUGAGGUAACGGCUCACCAAGACGAUGAUACGUAGCCGACCUGAGAGGGUGAUCGGCCACAUUGGGACUGAGACACGGCCCAAACUCCUACGGGAGGCAGCAGUAGGGAAUCUUCCGCAAUGGACGAAAGUCUGACGGAGCAACGCCGCGUGAGUGAAGAAAAGGUUUUCGGAUCGUAAAACUCUGUUGUCAGAGAAGAACAAGUUGGAGAGUAACUGCUCCAGCCUUGACGGUAUCUGACCAGAAAGCCACGGCUAACUACGUGCCAGCCGCGGC
rnacentral:rRNA from 1 species